UACGUAGGGUGCAAGCGUUAAUCGGAAUUACUGGGCGUAAAGCGUGCGCAGGCGGUUUUGUAAGACUGUCGUGGAAUCCCCGGGCUUAACCUGGGAAUGGCGAUGGUGACUGCAAGGCUAGAGUUUGGCAGAGGGGGGUAGAAUUCCACGUGUAGCAGUGAAAUGCGUAGAUAUGUGGAGGAACACCGAUGGCGAAGGCAGCCCCCUGGGUCAAAACUGACGCUCAUGCACGAAAGCGUGGGGAGCAAACAGG
rnacentral:rRNA from 1 species